ensembl:lncRNA
CAAGGAGAGAGAAGAGGAAGUCUUGCAUUAGGGAGUUGGGGGUUGGGUUUCUGUGUGUUUUCAGAGAAACAACCUCAGCUUCCAGGUUUCUAGAGGGGUUCCCCAUCCUCUGCUCAGUUCAGCCCCAGGCAGGCAGAACCGUGCCCAAGCCUCCCUCCUGAGCUCCCGCAUAUGCUUUCUUGCUAAAUGACUCUUGCUCCAUCGUCUCCUCACAGGGUACAUCUGCUGGGUGCCUCUCGUCCUCAACUCGGCUUUCAUCUUUUCGGAUCUCAACACAUUGUUUCCUCCAGUCCUGGUGCCAGGGUGGAAGGGAGCCAUCAAGCCCGGCCGCGCUCUGGGACUGGCAGCGAACGAAUGACUGGCAGCGGGCAUCUCUGUCAGCGCUUUGGCAUGCCGCAGAGUAGAAGCCCCACGCUAAUGAAUGCCAUCUACACCUACCAGAUGUGCCACUGGGUGACAUGCCAGAUCUUUUACAUAAUGCCAUUCUGCCGGACCCGAGACAGCUGGGGAUUCCAAAAAGGAAAACUGUUUAGAAGGUUAAAGGAAAAAUCCCACUGAGAACAGCUGAAAUGAAAAGGGGUUCCACAGCCCCAGCUCGUCCCGCUCUUCUCUACUCUCCAAGUGCAAGGGUGAGCUACCCACGCCCUAUCCCUUCCUCAGCCUCUCUGGUUCCGACCUCCUCCACUGCCCACCGGAGCCUGGGGAACGUUUAUCCUCAAGGGUGCGAGAGAGCCUGUCACUUUCCGUUCCACGUUCUGGCUGAAGUAGUUGUCUUGGGGUGGAGGUGUCCAAACCCUCCUGCCAUUUGGAACGGAGUGUUUCCUGGAGAGGGAUGGAUGAGGUGGGAGGAAGGGGAAAUAAGAAAACUGCUUCUGGCCAACAAGGGUGUGCGCGCCUGUAAGACAGUUUCCAAGCUCGGGUCCCAGCCCUCCACUCCCAGGGGGACAGGAGCUGGGGACCGGGGGAGGCGGCCUAACACGUCCCCAGCAUCCUCUCCACACCUGGCAACCGGGCCUGCCCGGGAUCCGGAGGACUCAUGGGGACCACCUCUGCGCCUCCUCCCAAGGGCCGCACCCCUCCCACGCCCCCUGCGGGGCCCUAGGGCCUCCCCUCCCCUCCCGCGUAGAGUCUCCGGCCAGCCAAGGGGCCCCGCGCCUGCCCGGUCCUCACAGCCCACCCCGCCCCGCCGCCUGGGCUCCAGAUGGCGGCGCAGCGAGAGCGGCACGCAGGGUCCCCUCCUCCCGCCCAGCUGCCUCUGCGUUGACCUGGCUGCUCAGCACUGCAGGCCGGCGCCUGUCUGACCGGGAGGGGGCGGUGUGCCCCGGGGGACGCAGGUAAGGCAGCCUCGGACGGGGCUCGGGGACCGCCCAACUCCACUCCCCGCCACCGAUUUCCAGCCCCAUCCCACCCCCAUCUCCCAGAACCCCAUUAUCCCCCUAUCCUAUCCCACCCGGGUCGUCCAGGGUGCAGCAGUGGCUGGGACAGUGCGCCAGCCGGACAGCGGGGAGCGCUGCGCAGGCUCCAGGAGGGGGCGCCCCACUUCCCAGAACCUGCUGGAGAAGUGGGCGCUGCUGGGUCCCGCCCUACCCUGAGGCCGCAGUGGCGCCCCUUCCCACCCGAGAGCCGCGCCACGCACCGGAGCAACGGGGCGCUCCAGCGCCUCUACUCCCCACUGCUAGCCCUCUUCCCUCUCUCUUUCGCUUUGCUCCUCUCUUUUCGCUUGACAGGUUUCCUGCCUUCCCUCUCUCUUGCACCCUCAUAUUCUUGAGGGUUCUACGGGCCGGAGACGAUGUGAAUGUGGCCCCUCUGCGAAGGUGACUAGUUUUUGUUCGGGGUCGGAGAUGGCAGCUGAGGGUCCGGGGUGCGGUGCUUCCCGGGUCGAGUCGUAGAGCUCCGGGACGCGCAAAGUUCGGCGGCGUUGGCACGGCGGUGAGCCCUCUGCUCCCUCCGCAAAGACAACAGGCCGGACAGUGGCUCCCCGCACAGCCCUCCCGGACAGUCCUCGCUGCUUCCCUCCCCAGAGUCCGCGCCGUGGUGGGGAGUGACCCGAGAGGCCGCGCUCGGCGUCCCGCGCAGCUCACCCUCCCUUCCUGUCCCGUGGGGUGCGGUGUGCGCCCACCGUGCCCUCAGGUCCCUGAGCAAGGCGGUCACCAUCGGGCUUUAGACCCCAGAACGAGUUCCAUAAGCUCCCAGGAUAAAUCCCCUCGGAAACAUUAAUCACAACGAGCAGCCAAGGCAAAAUGUGUGCCAGUGCGGUGUCAGCCUUUUAAUUCCUGACGUAAUUCCGGAGAACAGCAUCAGACAAGGGCUCUAUUAAUCCCUGACAUGAGUCCAGGCGAUCUAUGACCUACUAGACUUGUUUCCCUGCAACUGCAAAAAGUGUUAGCCUCGCUUAGAGGGACGGCGAGGACAGAAAAGAAAGAGAGAAGACCCUCUGCGCUUUCCCACCGCAAUGGGGCACUUCAAUCAGAAGGCGCUUGUAGGCUGAGGCAGGAGGAUCCCAAGUUUGAGCCCACCCUGGCCAAUUUAAGGACUUAGUAGACCCUGUCUCAAAAUUUUAAAAGGUAGCUCAGUGCCCAGUAGCCUUCCCACCCCCCCCCCCCCAAGCACACCUGACUGAUGUGGAUGGACUCACUGGCCAGGGGUCCAGAAAUUCGACCCCUGCGGUGGUGGUUUGGAGGGCAUGGCCAAGGGGACAGGGUAGGCUGGUGAGCACAGGGGCUGGAGACCCAAGUGACCCAGGGUGGAGACGGCCUCCUGGCAGCCGCUAGGGCAGGAGGAGAGGUUAUCCAGUCAGGCGGACCAGCCAGAACUGGACCCCUGGGGCCUGUUCCUCGAGCUUCAGAUUUCACUAUCAUGUCGUUCAAUUAAUCAUAUUUCGCUUCUCUCAUUUUAUUCAAAACCGUCUUCCACUUCCCUCAUAAUCGUAAUUUGCGCCAUUGCCUUUUAUCCUUGAUUAAUUAGGAAGCUGAAAUGAUAAUGGAGGGCCGGACCAAUAAAUUAGCUUUGGGAACAGACGGACCUACGUCUGGGGCUGCAGCGUGGGUGGGCAGUGCCCCCGAGGCACGGGGAGGGGUGAAGUGCACCCUAACCCUAGCCCUAACCCCAACCCCAACCCCAGCGCCAACCUAACCCAAGACCUCUCCCUGGGGUGUUACGUUCUUCUGUUCGGAUCUAGAGUUGGCGAGGGGGCUGGCGUAGGGGGAGGGAGGGGCCCCGUUUUCCUUCCCAGAGGCCUCACCGCCCCUAGCCGGUGGUUAGGUUGAAAGUCUGGGCCUGCGGAGGGUUUGGGUCUGUUUCUUCCCGAGCUAGGCGCUAGAUUUACUGCCUUUCCUUCCUCCACUCUCCGCUUGCCUGCUGGCCUGAAGGAGGGAGGAAGGGAGGGAAAGUGAGCGAGAGGGAGAGGGGGAUGCAGAUUCUAAGAUCAGGUCAGAAACUCCUGGCCCAAGGGGGAGCUCCCCGCGCCCAGUCGCUCCCUGGCCUCGCUGAGCGGCGCCGGGCGGUUGGGGCGCCUCUCUUCUCCCUCCCUCCGUGAAAUCGAUCACGCCUCCAGACGGCUGAGGGAGAGCACUUUGCCACUCUUCACAGCUUCGCCCCAGCCUCUUUAGCUUUCAAUUGAAAAGCAAUUAAAGGUUUCUAUAAAUCUGUUAGCGCCCCUUUUAUCUGGGGACCCCUGAUGCAUGCGAUAUUGCCCUUUAGAUGCCUCUUCCGUGUUUUGUUUUACAAUUGUUGUAUCAAUAUAAUGCGGCCUUUCUUCUCCUGUCUCUAUAGAUACAGAUACACAAGGAAAACCAAAGCUAUUCAGGCUCCUCAUUUGUCCGGCAGCUAACAGUGGGGCCCUUUCUCUGCGGCUGCUUCCCUGCCUAGGCAGCAGCAGUUAUGGUAGAAGCAGAUGGCUACUGAUUGGGGGAGCUUUGUGGCUCUAAUACUGAAUACUUUAUGGAAAAGGACUUUAUCAUGCUUCGUUGGGCAGGGGAACAACGGGAUGAGAUUUACAGCCAGAAAAAAAUAAAUCUUUUUCCAAGUUGUG